UACGGGGGGGGUAAGCGUUGUUCGGAAUUACUGGGCGUAAAGGGCUCGUAGGCGGCCAACUAAGUCAUACGUGAAAUCCCUCAGCUUAACUGGGGAACUGCGUGUGAUACUGGCGGGCUUGAAUUCGGGAGAGGGAUGUGGAGUUCCAGGUGUAGCGGUGAAAUGCGUAGAUAUCGCUUGGAACGCCGACGGUGAAAACAGGUUGCUGGGGGUGUGCCGACGCUGAGACACGAAAGCCAGGGGAGCGAACGGG
rnacentral:rRNA from 1 species